CUGCAGGAACUAAGGCUCCCACCCAGAUGGAGGAUGGUGACCACCUGCUGAGAAACCAGACUGGUCAGAACCAGAAGACUGGUGAUUGAGAUUCCUGGAACACUAUCUGUUACCUCACCAACAACCAAUCAGAAGAAAGUCAGAUUCACGGCCUUCACAAGACUCAGAGCUCCCAUGCUGAUGUCUGAGAGCUUGUUGGGGACUCUCUGCAGGACUCCCCAUCAUGGAAUCUUCCACUUAUGGCACCAAGCUCUUCUGCACAGGUGGGGACUUCCAUAGGGAAAGUCAUCCACAGAAAUGAGCCAAAUCGCUCCUGGAGAAUGUAAUGCCUUGAAAUCACCAAUACAUCUUAAGGUUUCAUACAAUAGUCCCUUUGCCAGGAAUGCCACUUCUUUCCUUCAUUAUCUGGGGAAACAGGCAUUCCUUUCAGAGUCCAUUCCAGUUGAAUCCUCCAUUACACUUUCCCCAUUCUUCUUAUCUGUUUUCACAACAACCACCACCCCUGCCACCUCUACCCCUAAAUACAUAUACAUACAUGCAAUAUAAACAAUAUUUCAGGUGGAUAUGCACUGGGUCUGGUAAACCCAAUCAUUGCAUGAGUCACUUCUAUUGUAAUGAUUUCUCUCUCACUAGGCUCCUAACUUCUAGAGGCACAGAAUACGGUACUUUUCUUUCUUCAUCACUGGUCUCUAGCAUGGCGCCUGGUGCUGGGAAGUUGUACAGUAAGCUAUCAUCUCAAUUUUGUGAAGAUGUGGUUUAUUCCAGAGAUCAUGCUUACACAAGUGGUAAUGGCUGAAGGUUGUGGAAGAACCAGGGGCUUGAAAUUUGAACAACUUGAUUUCAGUGUUGACUUUAUUAAAGACCUUACCAGAUGAACUGACAUUGACUUCUGAACCGAAGCCAUCUGAACUCCUUGGUCACUGGAAGGAACAAGUCAGCAUAACUUAGCACAUG